AAGACUAUAGACCUGCGGAGUACCUGCGGAAGGAUCAUUACCGAGUUUACAACUCCCAAACCCAAUGUGAACGUUACCAAACUGUUGCCUCGGCGGGAUCUCUGCCCCGGGUGCGUCGCAGCCCCGGACCAAGGCGCCCGCCGGAGGACCAACCAAAAACUCUUUUGUAUACCCCCUCGCGGGUUUUUUAUAUCUGAGCCAUCUCGGCGCCUCUCGUAGGCGUUUCGAAAAUGAAUCAAA
rnacentral:misc_RNA from 1 species